rnacentral:rRNA from 1 species
UCAGGCCUAACACAUGCAAGAAGAACGGCAGCACGGACUUCGGUCUGGUGGCGAGAAGCGAACGGGUGAGUAAUGUAUCGGAACGUGCCUAGUAGCGGGGGAUAACUACUCGAAAGAGUAGCUAAUACCGCAUACGCCCUACGGGGGAAAGGGGGGGAUCGCAAGACCCCUCACUAUUAGAGCGGCCGAUAUCGGAUUAGCUAGUUGGUGAGGUAAAGGCUCACCAAGGCGACGAUCCGUAGCUGGUUUGAGAGGAAGACCAGCCACACUGGGUCUGAGACACGGCCCAGACUCCUACGGGAGGCAGCAGUGGGGAAUUUUGGACAAUGGGGGCAACCCUGAUCCAUCAAAGCCGCGUGUGCGAUGAAGGCCUUCGGGUUGAAACUUAAAGGGGCAGGAAAGAAAUCGCACGGG